ensembl:lncRNA SOX9-AS1 SOX9 antisense RNA 1
CCUGACCUGGGAAGACGCGCGCAGUCCCCGACCAGAGGACCUCAGACACAGGACCCGGGAAGUCCCGGGCAGAGCGCAUCUCCCUGGCUCCUGCAAGCUACGGCUUCACCCAGCUUCGUGUUGGGCUCCGUUUUGGUUUUGGAGCGGCGUGAGGGAGUCUCGGGGGCUGGGUCGACUGCCACUGGCCUGAGCUCCGGACUCCGGGGACAGCGCGUCCUGUCCCGAGGGCCUCCCGCCCCCCGGGAAGGCCAAGGUCAUGAGGUCAAACCCCAACUUUUGGGCUUCCGCGAGAGUAAAGCCCCCGGAUGGUCCUCGGAGCUGUGACGUCACAAAAAGUGCUUGGGGUCUGGUUUCCCGCAGAAUCCAGCCUCUGUCCACGUGAACUCUGCUCUGUCCUCUGGGCUCAUAAUGUUCUGAGACUCUUGCUGCCUCUUUCAUGGAUUCCCCUUCUAUUUCCCUGAGACGACUCACAGGUCACAGAAAGCUGCCUCCCAUCCUUGCGGCUCCAUCAAGGUGCUUUGGAGGCAGGUAAAGCGCAGCCAAAAACAAUCCAUUGAUACACUUGGUGACAUUAAUUGAGAAAAAAACAAUAUGGUCUGGCCAUGGAGGCAUGGUAUCCGUAACAUCCCCCAAAGGAGCUAAAGAAGAAAUCCACAAUUUACCAUGAGCAUUUCUCGUCUGAAGAUUGCCAAGCGAUUCCUCCAGGACAUUCCUCAAGAUCAAUUUCUGUUCAUCCACCUUGUCCUGGGAGGGACAUCAAUGGGUUUCCAUGUCCUUUGGCUUCUGGUUGAGUUCACUCAGUGGAGAACCCUGGCAAGAGGCAGGAAAAGGGGAGGAAGGUGAAAACCAUCCAUUUCUUGGAGAAGUGCCACGGUGGGGUUGCAAGUCCCAGGAUCAAGUUUUCGAUGUGUCUCUUUUUCCCGUAAAGUGGCUGAAAUCUGAAGCUGAAUCUGCAAGUGUCAUGGAGUCAUUGAAUCUCACAGUCUCAACUGAUAAAAGUUAUUAAAGGUCGUCUGGUUCAGCCUUCUA